GCGGCAAGACGGAAAGACCCCGUGAACCUUUACUAUAGCUUGACACUGAACAUUGAGCCUUGAUGUGUAGGAUAGGUGGGAGGCUUUGAAGUGUGGACGCCAGUCUGCAUGGAGCCGACCUUGAAAUACCACCCUUUAAUGUUUGAUGUUCUAACGUGGACCCGUAAUCCGGGUUGCGGACAGUGUCUGGUGGGUAGUUUGACUGGGGCGGUCUCCUCCUAAAGAGUAACGGAGGAGCACGAAGGUUGGCUAAUCCUGGUCGGACAUCAGGAGGUUAGUGCAAUGGCAUAAGCCAGCUUGACUGCGAGCGUGACGGCGCGAGCAGGUGCGAAAGCAGGUCAUAGUGAUCCGGUGGUUCUGAAUGGAAGGGCCAUCGCUCAACGGAUAAAAGGUACUCCGGGGAUAACAGGCUGAUACCGCCCAAGAGUUCAUAUCGACGGCGGUGUUUGGCACCUCGAUGUCGGCUCAUCACAUCCUGGGGCUGAAGUAGGUCCCAAGGGUAUGGCUGUUCGCCAUUUAAAGUGGUACGCGAGCUGGGUUUAGAACGUCGUGAGACAGUUCGGUCCCUAUCUGCCGUGGGCGCUGGAGAACUGAGGGGGGCUGCUCCUAGUACGAGAGGACCGGAGUGGACGCAUCACUGGUGUUCGGGUUGUCAUGCCAAUGGCACUGCCCGGUAGCUAAAUGCGGAAGAGAUAAGUGCUGAAAGCAUCUAAGCACGAAACUUGCCCCGA
rnacentral:rRNA from 3 species